GUGAAAUUCAACACCAAAAGAAUGCAUCAGUGAGGAGGGUCGACAGGAGACAAGCACUGAGGCCGGGAUUAGAAGACAACGUUGGGAAUUGAGUGGAGACCUUAGAACACGGGAACACAGAAAAAAAAUAUUCCACUUUCAACCACUGGAUCUGCUUCUGAAAAGACUGGAUUUCUGAGACCCUCAGAGAGACACCCCCAUUCCCCCUGAGGAGUGCUGCUGACGUACUGUGAUUAGGGAAUCCACGUCAUCCUGUGCUCUGUAACGUCAAUUAGUG